GUAAUGGGAUGGUGUAGUGUAUAAUCCCGCUGCAGAUUUCUAUUCCAAGAGAAGACGUAAUUUAUACCUUGUCUAAUUAGUAAAGAUAUUGCCAUUGUGAGAGUAUGAGAAUUAGUUGUGAUAGAUCAAAUGCCUGCUACUCAUGUGAGUUUAUGGCUGUAAUACUUUCAUGCGUUGUCUACUUAAAACAGGUUUAGCUCUAGGAUUCCCUUUGACUGCCUUGUUACAGAAUGUCAGAGCGAAAUUGUCCUACCUCUCAACUGGUGAUUGUUCUGUAUGGUAACAUGAGCAGUGUGGCCUGACUUCCCCCUUAUUACAGAUGUCCGGUAUAGAUAUGUUGAGCAUCCUGCUAUGAUGUCUAUCACCAAGCUGGAACACUCAGAGGCCAACCCUCAGAGCCAGACUUGCAGUUGUCCGGUGUCUUAGCCUGAGAUGUCUGCUGGCUCAGCUGGGUCUUUGGGAUUGGAAAGAUUGACCGGGAUCCAACUCUGCACAGAUGGGUCGACAAAACUGAGCCCAUGUCUGACGUAUACACUUAAAUUCAAUUCAAUUUAAAGCAGUGAAAGACUGUUGUAUUUCAACUGUGAGAAUGGUCCAAAUCAUUUAAAAACAAGCUUGCACCACCACCUCCACCGAUGAGGAUGUAUGGAUAUCAGGGGAACUCUGGUAGUCUCCCCAAAGGAAUGAAUCCUUACUAUAUGAAAGGUGAAUAAUGCUUUAUCUCCAAGACUGUACCAAAGCUGCAUAUCUGGACCCUGCUUGCACUUGCUAUAGCUUACAUUAUGGCAAUUAAGGUCAAAGUGAUUAAACUGCUAAGUACUUUUUGUGGGAUAGGAAAAAACCCAGGAUUAAUAUGAAGAAGAUGUGCUCACCAAGGGAUGUAGGAGGCUUGGCUUUACCAGAUGUUAAAUUGUCCAAUUUACCAUUUGAAAUGGCUAAAUUGGUGAAGCAAUGGGGCAAAAUGGGUGCUGGCUUGGAUUGGAUAACAAUAGAACGGGAACUAAGUUAUCCUUCCACCCCUGUUGAUACUCUGUUACAUAGUCUUUACAGGGGAGAGGUCUGUUGAUACUCUGGUACAUAGUCUUUACAGGGGAGAGGUCUGUUGAUACUCUGUUACAUAGUCUAACAGGGGAGAGGUCUGUUGAUACUCUGUUACAUAGUCUUUACAGGGGAGAGGUCUGUUGAUACUCUGUUACAUAGUCUAACAGGGGAGAGGUCUGUUGAUACUCUGUUACAUAGUCUUCCAGGGGAGAGGUCUGUUGAUACUCUGUUACAUAGUCUUACAGGGGAGAGGUCUGUUGAUACUCUGUUACAUAGUCUUACAGGGGAGAGGUCUGUUGAUACUCUGUUACAUAGUCUUUACAGGGGAGAGGUCUGUUGAUACUCUGGUACAUAGUCUUACAGGGGAGAGGUCUGUUGAUACUCUGUUACAUAGUCUAACAGGGGAGAGGUCUGUUGAUACUCUGUUACAUAGUCUAACAGGGGAGAGGUCUGUUGAUACUCUGUUACAUAGUCUAACAGGGGAGAGGUCUGUUGAUACUCUGUUACAUAGUCUUACAGGGGAGAGGUCUGUUGAUACUCUGUUACAUAGUCUUUACAGGGGAGAGGUCUGUUGAUACUCUGUUACAUAGUCUAACAGGGGAGAGGUCUGUUGAUACUCUGUUACAUAGUCUUACAGGGGAGAGGUCUGUUGAUACUCUGUUAUAUGUGGAUUUUCACAUCUUAAACAAGGACACUCAUCGUGGCACAAUCCUAGGCUACAGAUAGGAAAGAAGUCUGUGUACUGGAAACAGUGGCUAUUGAAAGGAAUUCAUACUAUAGGUGAUCUGUACAAUGAAGUUUUAAUGUCAUUACUCAUAUGCUACAAAAUAUGAUGUGGGAGACAAGGGACAUUUCUGGAAAUAUUUAUUAACCGGCUAUCAACAAAAUCCAGCAAAUAACCCAAUAGCUGAGUAUUUGGAAUUGCCCAAACAAUAAGCAGUCAUAUUUUACUCAAUAUUUAGUCAUCUGCAGAGUAAAGACUGUAAAAACCUCAGAACAAUAUGGCAAAUUGACCUUAAGUGUGAAAUUGAGGAUGAUACCUGGUUGAAGAUCUUGUCCAGCUCAGGGAGGAACAUAAGGGAAGCCAGGGGGAAACUUACUCAAUAGAAGAUACUACAUAGGUCUUAUUGGACCCCAACAAGGCUUCAUCAGAUGUGGCUGACAAACAGUUCUCUGUGUUGGACAUGCCAAAAAGACACUGGGACAUUUGUACACGCAAUAUGGUAAUGUACAUUACUGCUACCUUUCUGGAAGGAUGUUUUGAAAUGUCUGGAGGAAUGGUUGGGCUUAACAAUUCCAAUUUCACCGAGAAUAUCUCUUGGGCGAUAGAACAGAGUUACCUAAUGUAACAAAGUAGGAAUUUGCACUGAUGACUGUUGGUAUGGUUACCGCAGCUAGAGUAAUCCUUAGAUUUUAGAAGGGUCAUUCCACUCCUACUCUGAAACAGUGAAUAUAGUCAAUGUUGGAGGUACAGUUGAAGUCGGAAGUUUACAUACACCUUAGCCAAAUACAUUUAAACUCAGUUUUUCACAAUUCCUGACAUUUAAUCCUAGUAAAAACGCCCUGUCUUAGGUCAGUUAGGAUCACCACUAUUUUAAGAAUGUGAAAUGUCAGAAUAAUAGUAGAGAGUGAUUUAUUUCAGCUUUCAUUUCUUUCAUCACAUUCCCAGUGGGUCAGAAGUUUAC
rnacentral:lncRNA from 1 species